ensembl:processed_transcript Eldr Egfr long non-coding downstream RNA
UGAGGCCGCGGAGGGUUUGCGAGCCAAGGCUCUCUCUCUGUCCCCAGGGGACUCUGCAACCUGUCUAGGUGCUCCUUCCCUGCGCAUAGUAACAUUCCAGGGAGCUGCCUGGGGAAGCUUAACUCUCAAUGCAAGGGGUAGGAAUGUAUCCUGGUGGGAGAGGCAUGACAGCAGGCAGCUGGAACAGGAAACUAAGUAAUAACAUCUUCAACUACAAGCAGAAGUCAAGAAAAACUGAAAGCGGUGAGUCUGUGAUGUCUGAAGAUCCACUUGUAAUGAUAUCCUUCCUCAACCACCAUCCCAAACGGUGUUCAAAUGCCCAAUCAAACAUCACAGUGGAGGUGGGAUAAAAAUAUCCAGGAAUAGUUUUCUUUUCUUGGAAAAAGUGCGGCAGUGUAAACCUGUCUCAACUCUGCAAAAGUAUAGGGAUUCCCAGGUGCUAGGGCAUUGUGGGAACCUUUUUCUGUCCCUGAGUGACAGAGAGACAAUGUCCAUGUGGGUGCUUUAUUCCCAUGUUGGCAGCUAAUGGAGCUGUGAGAGCUCCUCUUUAAAACUUUGUCCAGACUAACAUACCAGCCAAGAUUCUUCUGGUCCUCUCACCGCCCACUUGCUAACUCCUGCCAGGAAACAGUCGAGAAACCUAUAAAGGCUGUCCAGGGAUCAUGAGGACUUCCUACCAGCUAAGCCACAGCCUUGUCCUCAGGUUACAGCCUCUGUGGGUGGCAGUAGGGGUGGCUUUUGUUUUGUUUUGUUUUCUGCAGGGUCCCUGAAGUCAGCUCUGGAAAGCUGAGAAGAGCACUGUGCUCAGAAUGCUUCGCUGGAUGUUUUUGUCUUUAUUCUUACAGACAACUGGAACCCUGAGAGCCAAGGGAGAUUGUGGAGAGGAUGUGAGCAGAUGGCCGCUGAGGAUAGCUGACCGGGUGGGCUGGAACCCAGGCCAGGACUGCCACCUGAGGAUUGUGCCUGCGAUGUCCAUAUGAUGGUGAAGAGCCAAACAGGGAGCUCUGCUCUGUUGAAAAUCAUAAAGUUGAAAAUGAAAAGAGAUAAAGCCUUAAGCACAGAAGAAUAUUUUGUCUUUGGUGGAAAGAACAACUUAAGAUUUAUUUUAUUUUUUUAUUCUGUAUAUUGGUGUGGGUAUGUGCAUGCAAAUUUGGGUGACUCAAAUCACUUGGAGCUGGGAUUAUAGGCAGUUGAGAGCUGCCAAGCAUAGGAAUCUAACGAAUGUUAGUAUUCUCUGUAUGAGCAGAGAGUACUCCUAACUGCAGAGCCAUAUUUCCAGCUUAAGGAGGGCUUUCAGAAACAAGAUUGAUAGAGAAUACAAAGUUAAUAAUUUGAUGUAUUAAAAAGGUUAAUUUUUAGUCACUAUAGACACUAGAAAUAAUAUUUAUAAUGUAUAUAAUGCAUGUGAUUAUAGAACUAGAAGUAACAACAUUAAAUAUAAAGGAAUCAUUGUAAAUCAGAUAAGAGAGAUGGCCACCCCAGUAGGAAAAAAAACCCAUUAAAGUAACUAAAAUGUGGACAAA